AUUGAACGCUGGCGGCAGGCCUAACACAUGCAAGUCGAACGAGUGGCGGACGGGUGAGUAAUGUCUGGGAAACUGCCUGAUGGAGGGGGAUAACUACUGGAAACGGUAGCUAAUACCGCAUACCAUCAGAUGUGCCCAGAUGGGAUUAGCUUGUUGGUGGGGUAACGGCUCACCAAGGGGACGAUCCCUAUCUGGUCUGAGAGGAUGACCGGCACCACUGGAACGGAGAAACGGUGCAGACUCCUACGGGAGGCAGCAGUUGGGAAUAUUGCACAAUGGGCGGAAGCCUGAUGCAGCCAUGCCGCGUGUAUGAAGAAGGCCUUCGGGUGGUAAAGUACUUUCAGCGGGGAGGCGUUACCCGCAGAAGAAGCACCGGCUAACUCCGUGCCAGCAGCCGCGGUAAUUC
rnacentral:rRNA from 1 species